CCCGAUAUUGCUCGGAACCGAUGGGUUCCGUUCCAAAGGCGGUCCUGCCGCCGCAAGAGGAUGGGGCUGCGUCCUAUUAGCUAGUUGGUAGGGUAAUGGCCUACCAAGGCUUUGAUGGGUAGCUGGUCUGAGAGGAUGGCCAGCCACAUUGGGACUGAGAUACGGCCCAGACUCCUACGGGAGGCAGCAGUGGGGAAUCUUGGACAAUGGACGAAAGUCUGAUCCAGCGACACCGCGUGGGGGAUGAAUGCCUUCGGGUUGUAAACCCCUUUUCUGGGGAAAGAAUAAGGACGGGAGGAAAUGCCAGUCCGAUGACGGUACCCCAGGAAUAAGCAUCGGCAAACUUCGUGCCAGCAGCCGCGGUAAGACGAAGGAUGCGAGCGUUAUCCGGAAUUACUGGGCGUAAAGGGCGUCUAGGCGGUCUAGUAAGUCAUUUGUGAAAUCCCUCGGCUCAACCGAGGAGGGUCUUGUGAUACUGCUGGACUUGGGUGUAGGAGAGGAGAGUGGAACUCACAGAGUAGCGGUGGAAUGCGUAGAUACUGUGAGGUACCCCGAUGGCGAAGGCAGCUCUCUGGCCUGCCACCGACGCUGAAGCGCGAAAGCGUGGGGAGCAAAGGGGAUUAGAUACCCCCGUAGUCCACGCCCCAAACGAUGUUCACUUGGUGUCGGCCGCAUAUACUGGUCGGUACCGAAGCUAACGCGUUAAGUGAACCGCCUGAGGAGUACGGCCGCAAGGCUAAAACUCAAGAGAAUUGACGGGUCCCCGCACAAGCGGUGGAGCACGUGGUUUAAUUCGAUGAUAAGCGAAGAACCUCACCCAGGCUUGACAUACUAGUGGUAGGAACCUGAAAGGGGGACGACCCUGCCUUCGGGUAGGGAGCUAGUACAGGUGAUGCAUGGCUGUCGUCAGCUCGUGUCGUGGGAUGUAGGGUUAAGUCCCGAAACGAGCGCAACCCUUGUCGUUAGUUGCCAGCGGGUAAUGCCGGGGACUCUAACGAGACUGCUGGUGAAUAGCCGGAGGAAGGCGGGGAUGACGUCAAGUCAUCAUGUCCCUUAUGCCUGGGGCGACACACAUGCUACAAUGGGAGGUACAAAGGGUCGCAAUACCGUAAGGUGGAGCCAAUCUCAAAAAACCUUCCUCAGUUCGGAUUGAGGUCUGCAACUCGACCUCAUGAAGCCGGAAUCGCUAGUAAUCGCAGGUCAGCCACACUGCGGUGAAUAUGUACUCGGGGAUU
rnacentral:rRNA from 1 species